rnacentral:rRNA from 1 species
AUACGGAGGGUGCAAGCGUUACUCGGAAUCACUGGGCGUAAAGCGCGCGCAGGCGGCUAUUUAAGUUGGAUGUGAAAGCCUACGGCUCAACCGUAGAACUGCAUCCAAAACUAUUUAGCUAGAGUGUGGGAGAGGAAGAUGGAAUUAGUUGUGUAGGGGUAAAAUCCGUAGAGAUAACUAGGAAUACCGAAAGCGAAGGCGAUCUGCUGGGACAUUACUGACGCUCAGGCGUGAAAGCGUGGGGAGCAAACAGGAUUAGAUACCCCAGUAGUCC